rnacentral:piRNA from 1 species
CAAGAGUUCGGGGAAAGACGGACAGGAC